AAAGGAACGGAAAAAAGAGAAGCGCUUAGCGACAUCAAACACGGUGCUGAUCAUCUUGGGGGUACAUCGCUUAGUUGUAGACAGGCACACAAACGCAAACGUGUUCCCUCUGUUGUACCUUCGCACAAGCGACGCAACACGCCCAAGGAGCAGCCCACGAGCGCUGGUCGUGCGCUUGUCGAGUUAGCGCGCCUAUACACGUGCGCAUACGCACCUUGGCAGAGAAGCGCAAGCAGAUUGCGCAUGCCUGAUCUCUUGCAUCGCGCAGCCACAGAGGAUAAAAGCAGAAGCAUUGGUCUCUGUCCCGCGAGAGAGCCGAUACACCCAGGGCGGGGGAAUUUUGGCAAUACCGUGUACGCGCAUAGGAUCACCACUAGUAUUUGUCGUCUUAAUUUUGUUCUCUCUGCAUCACCUUCGCUUUGGGCUUCCUGCCACGACUGUUAUUGCGGACGGGCAAACGAGCGCACGACUUGAGUGGACUUUUUCGCUAGCCGCCCCCCCCCCUCCCCCCACUUUUUGUCAGUUUUUUUUCCCAGGGUCUCUCUCUCUUGCACUUGCUAGCGGACUCCACCAGUAGUCUUCGCCCUUUUUCGCUUUCUGUGCUGCUCUUCUCUGCGUGCGUCCGCCGGAGUCUGCCUGCCUGCCUGCCUGCCUGCCUGUGCGCCUUUACACGUCUCCGUCAUCAAAGUGUUUCUCUCUUCCUCUCUCUUACAUUCUCACGACAUUCGCACCACCUCUUCAGGGCCGCACAAGGCUCAGCGGAGAAGGCUCGGAAGAGAAAGAGAUUGAGGGCAUAUCCUAUUACGUGUUUUCUCCUCCUGCCGGGCUCUUUGCUCCGCCGUCCACCGUCUCUCCACGCUUCAUCUUCGCCUCUUCUUCGAGAGCAGCCCGCCUUGCGUGUUUUAUUUUCAUUGUGUGUUCCUCUGAAUUUUGUUUGUUUCGCGAAGUAUUUCUCUUGUCUGUUUUUUUUUUUGUGGUUACCUGUUUUGUUCGUGUCGCCUCGUCUUCGGAAUUUUGCUGUCGUUCUCUUCGGUGUAAUUUCGUGUGCGUGUGCGCGUGUCUUCUUUUUUUUCGCUGGACUAGCCUUUUUCCUCUCGUGUUCUCUUGCGUUUUGUCUGUCUCUCUCUCUCUCUCUGGACCUUUUCCCUUUCCUGUUUUCUCUGUCUGUGCACAGCAACAACUCUGUUCCGAGUGCUGCUGUUGCUCGCUCUCUGUGUUCUUUUCCCUUCGCUUUUUCAACUGUGUUGCCUCUCUCUCUACCGACGAGGACGUGCUCAUUUCGGUCUGCGCGCUUGUAUGCGGUCACCCUCAAGCUUUCUCUAUGGUGGGCCACAUUGUUGCACCUCGAGUACUCUGGGUCGUUGAUCUCGUGUGCUUGUGUGGGCGGCCCCUUCUCACAAGACGUCCCCGCGUGUAUCAGGCUACCAUUUUCUCUUUUUUUUUGAAGGGCAUCGCGGGAGGGCACGCCUCUACGCCCCUCUCCCUCUGCCUUCCCACAACAGUAAGCAUACAGGCGUGUGUGCACGGGGGCAAGCCUACGACCAGGUCCGGCUGCCGCGCGGCGGAUAGGAAAGCUAGCAACAGUGCAGAGCACCUGGUUUCCAAAAGAAAAACGAUUUUUUUUUGUGGAUAGCGCUCCCAAUCGCCACUGGAAGCGUCGCCAAGAAUGAUCUCGAUACCGGUAAUGACAGAUGAAACCGUGGUGCGGUACCACUCGAACAUGAACGGCGGCGGUGUUGCUGCGGAGGAGAACGGCGACUAUCACACCGCGGCUGACGCAGCAGGGCGUGGCGAUGGCGUAGAAGCAGCGACAGCGGCCGCCGCACCGCCGAUAGCGAUGGACUACUACGAUCAGUCGCUUUCUAGUUCUCCCACUUCUCCAGCCAGAGGAGGCGGUGCGUUCGCAGCGCCGGCGCAGUACACCGCCGCUGUACCCUGCAGCUGCAGCAUCCUUGACGUCGGUACUGACCCGGCUCCCAUUGCGGCCCCAGUAGAUGUUGCCCCGCCGGAGAUGCCCCCGCUAGCCCAGCUGUGCGCACUCGCGCUGCAAUACCGCUGUGACCUGAGCCAAGAGACGGACCAGAAUAUUCGCUCGUGCUUUCACAGCAGCCGCGUCCCCAGUAUCUCCCUCUGGGACUACGUACGACGCUUUGCCAAGUACUCUGUCUGUAGCGAGGAGUGCUUUAUCUUAGCCAUGGUUCUGAUGGAUCGGUACGUCUGCAAAACCAGAAUCCCGAUCACCCUUCGCAACGUGCAUCGACUCUACAUCACCGCCAUGACGCUGAGUGUGAAGCUGCGCGACGACUCCUAUUACAGCAAUGCCUACUACGCCAGCAUUGGGGGCGUGGUGAAUGCGGAACUAAAUGUGCUGGAGCUAGAGUUGCUUGAUAUUGUGCAGUGGUUCACGUGGGUAGAGAAGUCCUUGUACGAUGCUUACGUAGCUCGGCUAGAGGCACUCUUCGGCGACGCGAUGCCGAAGCGGUUGGCAGCAUCGCCGACAAAGUAGCGGACUGAGGCGUUCCGUGAGGAUUUUGCGGAAAGAGAUCCCCACUAACCUGCUCGUCGGAAGGUGUUCGUUUUUUUUUUUCGUUGUGCCCCCAUUGCCCGCCGUCUCACUCUAUCCCUAACUGUUCUGUCGAACUAUUCUUAACUGUUGUAGUUUCUGUUUUUAUUUGUUUUUUCCUUUGUCGGUUCUGUCGGUACGAUAUCUUGUGUCUCUUAUAGCUUGUUUCUGCCCCUCUGCUUGUCCUUACGUGCUACUCUGUUGGUUUCACACACCCUCUCUCUCCUUUUUUGUCGUUGUCAUGCGUGCCGUCAUCCAUCGCCUAUCCUUUCCCCUUCUCCCCUUUUCGCCAUUCUCGCCGUAAAUUUCCGAAACAGAAUCUGUAGGAGCUCUCUAAUUUUCACGCACGCGUGCGAGAAUAUGCUCGGGUGAAGCGGCGCACAGCACCGACAAAGAGAUUCUUUCUUGUGUAUGUCUGUGUGUUGGUAAGGCGAGGUGGUGGCAGUGGUGGUGGGGGAGGGUGAGCAGCAGGGCCCCCUGGACACCGACAUACAGAAAGGCACAUACCAUGUAACUGUAUUUGUUUUUGUGCGGUGCGCGCCUGCCGGGGGGGGGGUGGAGUGUAUGUACACUUCGCUGUUCUAAGCGGGCCCACGAACGCACGCACACACGCACGCACACACGCACGCACGUACCCCCCUCCCCCCCCCCCCCCACACACACACACGCCAAUGCUGGGUGCUGGCGGUGUGCGGCUCCAUGCCCAGGCAUAUAUAUAAUGAAUUUUGAUGCUACGCUUUGUUGUUUGUUUUCACAGGUUGUUCCUUUUUCUGUGUGUAACUUGUUUUAUUGAGUCGCUUUCAGUUUUCCUUUUUUUUUGUCUUCUUCGCGUUGGUGCUGUUUGGUGAUUGCGUUGCUCUUUUCCUUCUCCUCUCUCACCCUAUAUGUGUUUCUUUCGUUGUUAUUUCCGUUUCUUUAUGCCAUACCACUGAUGGAAGCAGUUGGUGAUACGGGAAGCCGAAGAGAAGGUAGACGAGUCGGGGUAAGUAUGCAGAAGUAUCGUAGUGCUCAUCGGUUUCGUAGGGCACCGGCAGAACCGUGUGGAGGGACAAGAGGCUGCUGGCGACUGCGAAAGAGAAGGAGAGAGCGUAGCGAGGUUGCCAACCUCAGCACUCUAAUGCAUCUCAGUGACUGUGUGCUCUCUUUCAUUGGAAGUUCGUGUGUUGAGACUUCUCCGCUUUCUCUUCGUCUGCACUUCUGCGGUGCCCCGCCUUGCGCUUGUGUGUGUUUGUGUGAAUUCCUGUACCCCUCUCCUCCUCUUCUCCCUCACACAG
rnacentral:misc_RNA from 1 species